UACGUAGGGGGCGAGCGUUGUCCGGAAUCAUUGGGCGUAAAGGGCUCGUAGGCGGUUUGUCGCGUCGGGAGUGAAAACUCAGGGCUUAACCCUGAGCCUGCUUCCGAUACGGGCAGACUAGAGGUAUGCAGGGGAGAACGGAAUUCCUGGUGUAGCGGUGAAAUGCGCAGAUAUCAGGAGGAACACCGGUGGCGAAGGCGGGUCUCUGGGCCGAUACUGACGCUGAGGAGCGAAAGCGUGGGGAGCAAACAGG
rnacentral:rRNA from 1 species